UACGUAGGUGGCGAGCGUUAUCCGGAAUUACUGGGUGUAAAGGGCGUGUAGGCGGCACUGUAAGUCAGAUGUGAAAUCUCCCGGCUCAACCGGGAGCGUGCAUCUGAUACUGCAGUACUUGAGUGAUCGAGGGGAAAGCGGAAUUCGUAGUGUAGCGGUAAAAUGCGUAGAUAUUAGGAGGAACACCAGUGGCGAAGGCGGCUGGCGGGCGAGUAACUGACGCUGAGGCGCGAAAGCGUGGGUAUCGAACAGG
rnacentral:rRNA from 1 species